GUGCCAGCAGCCGCGGUAAUACGUAGGAGGCGAGCGUUGUCCGGAGUUACUGGGCGUAAAGCGCACGCAGGCGGUCUUGUCAGUCUCAGGUGACAGUCCUCGGCUUAACUGAGGAAGUGUCUGGGAAACUGCAAGACUUGAGGGCUUCAGAGGGACAUGGAAUUCCAGGUGGAGUGGUGAAAUGCGUAGAUAUCUGGAGGAACACCAAAGGCGAAGGCAGUGUCCUGGGGAGCAUCUGACGCUCAGGUGCGAAAGCUAGGGGAGCGAACGGGAUUAGAUACCCCGGUAGUCC
rnacentral:rRNA from 1 species